UAACCAUUUCAAUUUGUUCCUUGC
rnacentral:siRNA from 1 species